rnacentral:rRNA from 1 species
UACGAAGGGGGCGAGCGUUGUUCGGAUUUACUGGGCGUAAAGGGCGCGCAGGCGGUUCUGUUUGUCGAGUGUGAAAGCCCCGGGCUCAACCUGGGAACUGCGCUCGAAACGGCGGAACUAGAGUUCGGGAGAGGAGAGUGGAAUUCCCAGUGUAGAGGUGAAAUUCGUAGAUAUUGGGAAGAACACCGGUGGCGAAGGCGGCUCUCUGGGACCGAUACUGACGCUGAGGCGCGAAAGCGUGGGGAGCAAACAGG